GCUGACACAUCCCGGUCAAUCUCCAGCAGACCCUCCCUCCCAGACCCUCCUACUUCCUGGACAGCAUCCAUGUUGAAGCUGCCUUCAACAUGGAUGCUGUCCAGGAGGUGGGAGGGUCUGGGAGGGAGGGUCUGCCGGAGAUUGGCAGGGAUGUGUCAG